UGUCCAAUGCGGGAAUCGAACCCGGGUCCUAGUGGUCGAAAACCAAACGGUUUAACCGGCCUUCCACUGACCCCC
rnacentral:tRNA from 1 species